rnacentral:rRNA from 1 species
CGGCAAUGGAUAUCUCGCGCUCGCAUCGAUGAAGAACGUAGCGAAAUGCGAUACUUGGUGUGAAUUGCAGAAUCCCGUGAACCAUCGAGUUUUUGAACGCAAGUUGCGCCCAAACCACUAGGCUGAGGCACGUCUGCCUGGGGUCAC